rnacentral:rRNA from 1 species
CACGAACCGUACGAACGUUAUUCGGAAUUACUGGGCUUAAAGGGUUUGUAGGCGGCCAUGUAAGUGGGGUGUGAAAUCCCUCGGCUCAACCGAGGAACAGCGCUCCAAACUGUAUGGCUUGAGGGAGACAGGGGUAAGCGGAACUGAUGGUGGAGCGGUGAAAUGCGUUGAUAUCAUCAGGAACACCGGUGGCGAAAGCGGCUUACUGGGUCUCUUCUGACGCUGAGAAACGAAAGCUAGGAUAGCGAACGGG